rnacentral:lncRNA from 1 species
AUGACUUUUGAAAUGAAAUGAAAAUAGUUUUUCAAGUAUGUAGGCGAGUCUCCAAAUUCAAGCAGCAAUCAAAUCCUCUGCAAUAUAACAUGAUUAAUCCUCCCACAAGUCAUUGGCUAAUGUGUAUACAAUUACAUAUAUAAAGAUUUAAGGGGAAAGCUUGCGAACUCAAACAACAGAUGUAUAAAAAUUAGAGCAGCAAUGUCCAAAUCAAAGAUUGUGAAUAAUUUGCCAACAUACAUGUGAUUAGCCACACUCGAGAACAAAACUCAUGUCAUUUUAUAGUUCUAGGGUUCAGUCAUUUCAAAAAAUUAGUUCAUUUAAGAGGAGAAACUUUAGAAUAAAAUCCUUUUCUCAAUACAGUACAACAACCAGUAUCAGGGUUUUUAACUACACAUUUAGGAGUCAAAUUUUUCAAGAAUUUUUACUAAAAUUGAUGUGCAAGAGAAGAUAAUAACAAAAAUUACCUGUUUUAAUCGUUCAAUCGGGCUUAAUCAACUGUGGGUUCUUAGUUAGGGUUUUGCAAUUCAAUGGCGACAACACAUGCGCUCGGUGGGUACUUCGUAUGGUUCUUAAUGAGGGCCAAAUCGAUGGCAAAAGACGAGACAAUGUCUGCAUUAGUUUGUUGCCCUGCAAGAUUUUAAUUAAAAAAGGAGAGUGAUGAGAGUAAGAGAUGAGAAUGAGAGUGCCAUCA